rnacentral:lncRNA from 1 species
ACGUAAAAAUAUGGUGGCCCGAGGAUAUCAGUCCCCCCACCUUCCAUACUCCCUACUAGUGGUAAAAUCGUAAUGGCCGCUCUCUCCUCUCGGCUGGUCCAGGGUCCUCCGCACAGAUUUUCUUUUCUCUAAAUUGUUCCUGUAACUUUUACUAUUUUAUUCAAACCGCAGUGUAAUACAACAACCGUGCUAUCAAAGUUCCUUAAAUUUUCUCGCAAAUUUUCCGUUAAAUCCUAGCCACAGUGAGUAGGUUCGCUGUAAGUAGGUUGAACUUGCAAGCAACAACGGACAGCUCGAGAGGACCGGGGGGUGCUUCUCGUGUCACGGGAGGAAGGGACGAAGAACCUCGCUCCCAAUCCAAUAUUGGACGUUGGGUUCCUCCAGCCUUAAGACGCGAUGCACUUGCCCAAGAAAGCCCAGAAAACAUCAUCUUCCGCAAGGUUAGAGGGAUUCUUAACAAGCUUACUCCUGAGAAAUUCCAUAAACUGAGCUCUGACUUGUUGCAAAUUGAACUAACAACAUCAGAAUAUGUGCUGAAGGGCAUCAUAUUUUUGGUAAGAUACCAUACACCCUGUUUUUUCCGUGUAAAUGUUAAUAAAAUUUUGAUAGUUAAAUUAAGUUAAAUUGAUUGUGUAAAACUUUUAGAAAUAUAGCUUCCAACUUUAUUAGAGUACAAAGUAAAUUAACAUAAUUUGGAC